GAUGAACGCUGGCUACAGGCUUAACACAUGCAAGUCGAGGGGAAACGACGGGGAAGCUUGCUUCCCCGGGCGUCGACCGGCGCACGGGUGAGUAACGCGUAUCCAACCUGCCUCUGACUGAGGGAUAACCCGUCGAAAGUCGGCCUAAUACCUCAUGGUAUCGUCUGCGGGCAUCCAACGACGAUUAAAGAUUUCAUCGGUCAGGGAUGGGGAUGCGUCUGAUUAGCUUGUUGGCGGGGUAACGGCCACCAAGGCUACGAUCAGUAGGGGUUCUGAGAGGAAGGUCCCCCACAUUGGAACUGAGACACGGUCCAAACUCCUACGGGAGGCAGCAGUGAGGAAUAUUGGUCAAUGGGCGAGAGCCUGAACCAGCCAAGUAGCGUGCAGGAAGACGGCCCUAUGGGUUGUAAACUGCUUUUAUGCGGGGAUAAAGUGAGGGACGUGUCCCUCAUUGCAGGUACCGCAUGAAUAAGGACCGGCUAAUUCCGUG
rnacentral:rRNA from 1 species